GUCCACGCCCUAAACGAUGCGAACUAGGUGUUGGGGAAGGAGACUUCUUUAGUACCGUAGCUAACGCGUGAAGUUCGCCGCCUGGGGGAGUACGGUCGCAAGAUUAAAACUCAAAGGAAUUGACGGGGACCCGCACAAGCGGUGGAUGAUGUGGAUUAAUUCGAUGCAACGCGAAAAACCUUACCUACCCUUGACAUGCCCGGAACCCUGGUGAGAGCUGGGGGUGCCCGAAAGGGAAUCGGGGACACAGGUGCUGCAUGGCUGUCGU
rnacentral:rRNA from 1 species